UUAGAUACCCCACUAUGCUUAGCCCUAAACUUAGAUAGUUAACUUAACAAAACUAUCCGCCAGAGAACUACUAGCCACAGCUUAAAACUCAAAGGACUUGGCGGUGCUUUACAUCCCUCUAGAGGAGCCUGUUCUA
rnacentral:rRNA from 1 species